rnacentral:rRNA from 1 species
AGAGUUUGAUCAUGGCUCAGAAUGAACGCUGGCGGCGUGCCUAACACAUGCAAGUCGAGCGGUAAGGCCCCUUCGGGGGUACACGAGCGGCGAACGGGUGAGUAACGCGUGGGUAACCUACCCAGAGGUGGGGGAUAGCCUCGGGAAACCGGGGGUAAUACCGCAUACGUCCCAGUCGACGAAGGUCGAUUGGGGGAAAGGCGGGGCUCCUUCGGGACCUGUCGCCUCUGGAUGGGCCCGCGUCCGAUUAGCUUGUUGGUGGGGUAAUGGCCCACCAAGGCUGCGAUCGGUAGCCGGCCUGAGAGGGUGACCGGCCACAUUGGGACUGAGACACGGCCCAGACUCCUACGGGAGGCAGCAGUGGGGAAUUUUGGGCAAUGGGCGAAAGCCUGACCCAGCGACGCCGCGUGGGGGAUGAAGGCCUUCGGGUUGUAAACCCCUGUCACGUGGGAAGAACAGCCUACUGGAUAAUACCCGGUAGGUCCUGACGGUACCACGGGAGGAAGCCCCGGCUAACUCCGUGCCAGCAGCCGCGGUAAUACGGAGGGGGCAAGCGUUGUUCGGAAUUACUGGGCGUAAAGCGCACGUAGGCGGCGAGGUAAGUCAAAGGUGAAAGCCCUCGGCUCAACCGAGGAACUGCCUUUGAAACUGCUUCGCUUGAGUCCGGGAGGGGGGAGCGGAAUUCCCAGUGUAGCGGUGAAAUGCGUAGAUACUGGGAGGAACACCGGUGGCGAAGGCGGCUCCCUGGACCGGUACUGACGCUGAGGUGCGAAAGCGUGGGUAGCAAACAGGAUUAGAUACCCUGGUAGUCCACGCCGUAAACGAUGAGCACUAGGUGUAGCGGGUGUCGACCCCUGCUGUGCCGAAGCUAACGCAUUAAGUGCCCCCGCCUGGGGAGUACGGUCGCAAGGCUGAAACUCAAAUGAAUUGACGG